CCUCUCAGUUUUUCUUCCCCUUUUCUACAGCAAAAAGAGAUCUUAGUUACCGUCAAUAAUUGAUUUAUACUAAGAAGCUUUAAAUAUGAAAUUAAUCCUCGUUUUUCACAGAAUUGCUGGUGCACGAUGGUUUCUUUGGUGAAGAACAGUGGAAGAAAAAGAGAGAACGAUAAACCCACUCACUAAAAAUCUCGGUCGAAGACUAGUGGUGCACGAUGACAGGCAUUCCCUAUAUUAUGAAGUUACGAAAACUGUGUUACAUUCGAUUAUUUAAAGCUUUUUAUAGUUAAAGAAUCCAGUGAUAUCAUCGAUCUGCGACUAUUAAUUUUCUUUUGGUACAGAACAGUGGAAGAAAAGGAAAGCACGAGAGAGAAGAAAAAAUGGGAAAGAUGAAACUAAACUAUUCAAUCGGGUCAUGGACCACUUAAUAAAACCCGCGUGUUUUUGCUUAAAAUCUCAGCCGUCGAAAAUUGUAAGAUCCAUUGGUUGUAUGAGUUUGUGACAAAGUCUGUGAGACAAACUAUUACUCUAACUCUAUAAGGUUUGAGUUAAGUGAGUUAUAUCAUGACACCGAUGCUUUUGUAAAACACUAUACUCGACAUGCACUAUGUCUGCCAGAGUAAUCCUUUAAUUAAAAUCGUUUCUUUCAA